rnacentral:rRNA from 1 species
AGAGUUUGAUCCUGGCGAAGGAUGAACGCUAGCGGCAGGCUUAACACAUGCAAGUCGAGGGGCAGCAUGUCCAGCAAUGGAUGAUGGCGACCGGCGGAAGGGUGCGUAACGCGAUUAGCAACAUGCCCUAUACAGGGAGAUACACCAGGGAAACUUGGUCUAAUAUCCCAUAGCAUUCAUUGAAGGCAUCUUUAAUGAAUUAAAGCUUCGGUGGGUAUAGGAUUGGCUCGCGUGACAUUAGCCAGAUGGUGAGGUAACGGCUCACCAUAGCAAUGAUGUCUAGGGGUUUUGAGAGGAAGGCCCCCCACACUGGGACUGACACACGGCCCAGACUCCUACGGGAGGCAGCAGUGAGGAAUAUUGGACAAUGGAUGGAAAUCUGAUCCAGCCAUGCCGCGUGCAGGAAGACGGCCUUAUGGGUUGUAAACUGCUUUUAUACGGGAGCAAUAAGGGUUACGAGUAAUCCGAUGAGAGUACUGUAUGAAUAAGGAUCGGCUAACUCCGUGCCAGCAGCCGCGGUAAUACGGAGGAUCCGAGCGUUAUCCGGAAUUAUUGGGUUUAAAGGGUGAGUAGGCGGUAGUAUAAGUCAGCGGUGAAAACUUGCAGCUCAACUGUAAGCUUGCCGUUGAAACUGUAUUACUUGAGUUAAGUUGAGGUAUGCGGAAUGUGGUGUGUAGCGGUGAAAUGCAUAGAUAUCACUCAGAACACCGAUUGCGAAGGCAUCUCGCGAGGGGUCAAUUGACGCUGAGGCACGAAAGCGUGGGGAUCGAACAGGAUUAGAUCCCCUGGUAGUCCACGCAGUAAACGAUGAUGGCUAACUGUCGGGCCUGCGGGUUCGGCGGCCAAGCGAAAGCGAUAAGCCAUCCACCUGGGGAGUACGACCGCAAGGUUGAAACUCAAAGGAAUUGACGGGGGCCCGCACAAGCGGAGGAACAUGUGGUUUAAUUUGAUGAUACGCGAGGAACCUUACCUGGGUUUGACAUAUACUGGAAUGUUAUAGAGAUAUAGCAGCGUAGCAAUACACCGGUAUACAGGUGCUGCAUGGCUGUCGUCAGCUCGUGCCGUGAGGUGUUGGGUUAAGUCCCGCAACGAGCGCAACCCCUCCUGCCAGUUACUAACAGGUUAUGCUGAGGACUCUGGCGGAACUGCCGGUGACAAACCGGAGGAAGGUGGGGAGGACGUCAAGUCAUCAUGGCCCUCAUGUCCAGGGCUACACACGUGCUACAAUGGCCGGCACAGAGCGAUGCAACACCGCGAGGGUAUAGCAAAGCGCAAAAAACCGGCCGUAGUUCGGAUUGAAGUCUGAAACUCGACUUCAUGAAGGUGGAAUCGCUAGUAAUCGCGCAUCAGCCAUGGCGCGGUGAAUACGUUCCCGGGCCUUGUACACACCGCCCGUCAAG